GAAGUGAAAGUGAAAGUAGUCUAUUACUGCGAUAAAGAGCAAGCUGAUUUUCAAAUCUAAUCAUAAAAAGGCCUCAGAGAAUCACAUAUUUCUUUCUGAACAAUAGAAAGUGGAGCUCAGACUGGUAUGAUCAGAGUAUCCAGCCUAACAACAUCUCUGAACACUACAAAGACAAAAAACUUCGCUCUGAAUCUGGAUUGUAAUUAAUACUGUAAACAUACUGUUAAUAUAAAAACAGAGAUGGAGUCUGACCAGUCACAGUGGCUCUUUUUGACUCUGCUGUUUCUCCACCAGUCCUGUGUCUCAGGAUCAGUGAGGUUUGAGGUUCAUGGUCCAGCUGCUCCAGUAGUUGUGUCCCCUGGUGAAGACGCUGUCCUGCCCUGUUACCUCUCACCAGAGAUCAGUGCUGAGGACCUAGAGAUCAGGUGGUUUAAAAAGAAUUACCAUGACCUUAUUUGUUUGUAUGAAUCAGGCCAGUAUAACCUUGUAAGACAGAACCCAGCCUACAGGGACAGGGCUGGUCUAUUCCUGCAGGAGCUCCACAGAGGCAAUGUGUCUUUAACACUGAGAGAUGUGAGACGAUCUGACCAUGGACAGUACACGUGCUUGGUGGGGUCUAAGCUGAUGGAGGAUGAAGCUGUUAUUAACCUGGGUGUGAGAGGUGAGUGUCUUUCUCUCAGAGUUACAUCUGUGGUGAGUUAUUGAUCACUGCAAUGUACAAUAAAACUAAACAACUACACAGGAAUGAUGAGUGAUAGUACAUAAUGACUUAAGAGAAGAUUAUCGAUGUACUGGGCAUGGUGUUUUCCCAAAUAUAAUUUGAUCUUGACUUUGAAAUGGCAUAUUUACAGUAUGUUAAAUAUAAAUGUUUUCACGAUCGUUACUCCUCCUCUU